rnacentral:rRNA from 1 species
GCCCUCGGCAUACUGCUCAGUAACACGCGGAUAACCUGCCCUUGGGUCUGGGAUAACCCCGGGAAACUGGGACUAAUACCGGAUAGAUCAGAGAAACUGGAAUGUUCUCUGUUUCAAAACUCCGGUGCCCAAGGAUGGGUCUGCGGCCUAUCAGGUAGUAGUGGGUGUAACGUACCUACUAGCCAGCGACGGGUAAGGGUUGUGAGAGCAAGAUCCCUGAGAUGGAUUCUGAGACAUGAA